GGGGCUGUAGCUCAGUCGGCAGAGCGCUUGCAUGGCAUGCAAGAGGUCGGGGGUUCAAUUCCCCCCAGCUCCA
rnacentral:tRNA from 1 species